rnacentral:rRNA from 1 species
ACUCCUACGGGAGGCAGCAGUAGGGAAUCUUCCACAAUGGGCGCAAGCCUGAUGGAGUAACACCGCGUGAGUGAAGAAGGGUUUCGGCUCGUAAAGCUCUGUUGUUAAAGAAGAACACGUAUGAGAGUAACUGUUCAUACGUUGACGGUAUUUAACCAGAAAGUCACGGCUAACUACGUGCCAGCAGCCGCGGUAAUACGUAGGUGGCAAGCGUUAUCCGGAUUUAUUGGGGCGUAAAGAGAGUGCAGGCGGUUUUCUAAGUCUGAUGUGAAAGCCUUCGGCUUAACCGGAGAAGUGCAUCGGAAACUGGAUAACUUGAGUGCAGAAGAGGGUAGUGGAACUCCAUGUGUAGCGGUGGAAUGCGUAGAUAUAUGGAAGAACACCAGUGGCGAAGGCGGCUACCUGGUCUGCAACUGACGCUGAGACUCGAAAGCAUGGGUAGCGAACAGGAUUAGAUACCCUGGUAGGAUAGCG